UACGAAGGGGGCUAGCGUUGUUCGGAAUCAUUGGGCGUAAAGGGCGCGUAGGCGGCCAAUCAAGUCGAACGUGAAAUCCCCCGGCUCAACCGGGGACCUGCGUCCGAUACUGUUUGGCUCGAGUCCCGGAGAGGGUAGUGGAAUUCCCAGUGUAGCGGUGAAAUGCGUAGAUACUGGGAGGAACACCGGUGGCGAAGGCGGCUACCUGGACGGGUACUGACGCUGAUGCGCGAGGGCUGGGGGAGCAAACAGG
rnacentral:rRNA from 1 species